rnacentral:rRNA from 1 species
GUUAAGAAUCUUGCGCAAUGGGCGAAAGCCUGACGCAGCGACGCCGCGUGGACGAUGAAGGCCUUCGGGUUGUAAAGUCCACUAAGCAGGGAAGAAUAAUCAGCGGGUAAUAUUCGCUGUGAUGACGGUACCUGCCUAAAGCCCCGGCUAACUACGUGCCAGCAGCCGCGGUAAUACGAAGGGUGCAAGCGUUAUCCGGAUUCAUUGGGUUUAAAGGGUGCGUAGGCGGAGCGUUAAGUCAGUGGUGAAAUCCUGCAGCUUAACUGUAGACUUGGCAUUGAUACUGGCGCUCUUGAGUGCGCUUGAAGUGGGCGGAAUGUGCCGUGUAGCGGUGAAAUGCUUAGAUAUGGCACAGAACACCAAUUGCGAAGGCAGCUCACUAAGGCGAUACUGACGCUGAGGCACGAAAGCGUGGGGAUCGAACAGGAUUAGAUACCCCGGUAGUCC